rnacentral:rRNA from 1 species
GUCUAUGUCCAUGCUACCUUGAACAAGCCCAAUCCCGUCUGAUCUUGAAAGCUAAGCAGGGUCGAACCUGGUUAAUACUUGGAUGGGAGACCACCUAGGAAGACCAGGUGCUGUAGGCA